rnacentral:misc_RNA from 1 species
AAAGUCGUAACAAGGUUUCCGUAGGUGAACCUGCGGAAGGAUCAUUACUGAUUCAAGAGGGAUGUGCUGGCUCUCUUUGGGAGCAAUUGUGCACUCUUUCAAAUCUAAAUCUAUUCACCUGUGCACACUUGGUAGGCAAAUAGAAAUGGGAACACAGUUUCCAUCAUUGCCUAUUGUCUUUUUACACACACUUUUGAAUGCAAUGAAUGUAAUUGAAUUAAUUAAAACAACUUUCAACAAUGGAUCUCUUGGUUCUC